rnacentral:rRNA from 1 species
UACGGAGGGGGCGAGCGUUGUCCGAAGUUACUGGGCGUAAAGCGCGUGUAGGCGGGUUGCCAAGUCCGCUGUGAAAGCCCGGUGCUUAACGCCGGAGGGUCGGUGGAUACUGGCAGUCUUGAAGUGGCUAGGGGGAGAUGGAAUUACCGGUGUAGCGGUGAAAUGCGUAGAGAUCGGUAGGAACACCAGUGGCGAAGGCGGCGAUCUGGCCCAACACUGACACUGAGACCCGAAAGCGUGGGGAUCAAACAGG